ACCUAGUUGACGAGUCCAAAAUACGACGAAACGUGUGUCCUGGAU
rnacentral:hammerhead_ribozyme from 1 species